AGAGUUUGAUCCUGGCUCAAGACGAACGCUGGCGGCACGCUUAACACAUGCAAGUCGAACGAGAGAAGAGGAGCUUGCUUUUCUGAUCUAGUGGCGGACGGGUGAGUAACACGUGAGCAAUCUGCCUUUCAGAGGGGGAUACCGAUUGGAAACGAUCGUUAAUACCGCAUAACAUAAUUGAACCGCAUGAUUUGAUUAUCAAAGAUUUAUCGCUGAAAGAUGAGCUCGCGUCUGAUUAGCUAGUUGGUAAGGUAACGGCUUACCAAGGCGACGAUCAGUAGCCGGACUGAGAGGUUGAUCGGCCACAUUGGGACUGAGACACGGCCCAGACUCCUACGGGAGGCAGCAGUGGGGAAUAUUGCACAAUGGAGGAAACUCUGAUGCAGCGAUGCCGCGUGAGGGAAGAAGGUUUUAGGAUUGUAAACCUCUGUCUUCAGGGACGAAAAAAGACGGUACCUGAGGAGGAAGCUCCGGCUAACUACGUGCCAGCAGCCGCGGUAAUACGUAGGGAGCGAGCGUUGUCCGGAAUUACUGGGUGUAAAGGGAGCGUAGGCGGGAUCGCAAGUCAGAUGUGAAAACUAUGGGCUUAACCCAUAAACUGCAUUUGAAACUGUGGUUCUUGAGUGAAGUAGAGGUAAGCGGAAUUCCUAGUGUAGCGGUGAAAUGCGUAGAUAUUAGGAGGAACAUCAGUGGCGAAGGCGGCUUACUGGGCUUUAACUGACGCUGAGGCUCGAAAGCGUGGGGAGCAAACAGGAUUAGAUACCCUGGUAGUCCACGCCGUAAACGAUGAUUACUAGGUGUGGGGGGACUGACCCCUUCCGUGCCGCAGCAAACGCAAUAAGUAAUCCACCUGGGGAGUACGACCGCAAGGUUGAAACUCAAAGGAAUUGACGGGGGCCCGCACAAGCAGUGGAGUAUGUGGAUUAAUUCGAAGCAACGCGAAGAACCUUACCAGGUCUUGACAUCGUAUGCAUAGCUCAGAGAUGAGUGAAACCUCUUCGGAGACAUAUAGACAGGUGGUGCAUGGUUGUCGUCAGCUCGUGUCGUGAGAUGUUGGGUUAAGUCCCGCAACGAGCGCAACCCUUACUGUUAGUUGCUACGCAAGAGCACUCUAGCAGGACUGCCGUUGACAAAACGGAGGAAGGUGGGGAUGACGUCAAAUCAUCAUGCCCCUUAUGACCUGGGCCUCACACGUACUACAAUGGCUGUCAACAGAGGGAAGCAAAGCCGCGAGGUGGAGCGAACCCCUAAAAGCAGUCUUAGUUCGGAUUGUAGGCUGCAACCCGCCUACAUGAAGUCGGAAUUGCUAGUAAUCGCAGAUCAGCAUGCUGCGGUGAAUAGGUUCCCGGGCCUUGUACACACCGCCCGUCACGCCAUGGGAGUCGGUAACACCCGAAGCCUGUAGUCUAACCGCAAGGAGGACGCAGUCGAAGGUGGGAUUGAUGACUGGGGUGAAGUCGUAACAAGGUA
rnacentral:rRNA from 1 species